rnacentral:rRNA from 1 species
GACGAACGCUGGCGGCGUGCCUAAUACAUGCAAGUAGAACGCUGAAGGAGGAGCUUACUUCUCUGGAUGAGUUGCGAACGGGUGAGUAACGCGUAGGUAACCUGCCUGGUAGCGGGGGAUAACUAUUGGAAACGAUAGCUAAUACCGCAUAAGAGUAGAUGUUGCAUGACAUUUACUUAAAAGGUGCAAUUGCACCACUACCAGAUGGACCUGCGUUGUAUUAGCUAGUUGGUGGGGUAACGGCUUACCAAGGCGACGAUACAUAGCCGACCUGGGAGGGUGAGCGGCCACACUGGGACUGAGACACGGCCCAGACUCCUACGGGAGGCAGCAGUAGGGAAUCUUCGGCAAUGGACGGAAGUCUGACCGAGCAACGCCGCGUGAGUGAAGAAGGUUUUCGGAUCGUAAAGCUCUGUUGUAAGAGAAGAACGAGUGUGAGAGUGGAAAGUUCACACUGUGACGGUAUCUUACCAGGAAGGGACGGCUAACUACGUGCCAGCAGCCGCGGUAA